GAGUUUGAUCGUGGCUCAGAUUGAACGCUGGCGGCAUGCCUUACACAUGCAAGUCGAACGGCAGCAUGAUCUAGCUUGCUAGAUUGAUGGCGAGUGGCGAACGGGUGAGUAAUACAUCGGAACGUGCCCUGUAGUGGGGGAUAACUAGUCGAAAGAUUAGCUAAUACCGCAUACGACCUGAGGGUGAAAGUGGGGGACCGCAAGGCCUCAUGCUAUAGGAGCGGCCGAUGUCUGAUUAGCUAGUUGGUGGGGUAAAGGCCCACCAAGGCGACGAUCAGUAGCUGGUCUGAGAGGACGAUCAGCCACACUGGGACUGAGACACGGCCCAGACUCCUACGGGAGGCAGCAGUGGGGAAUUUUGGACAAUGGGCGAAAGCCUGAUCCAGCAAUGCCGCGUGUGUGAAGAAGGCCUCGGUUGUAAGCGACUUUGUCGUAAGAAUAGGCUCU
rnacentral:rRNA from 1 species